CACGUAGUUAGCCGGGGCUUCUUCUGAAGGUACCGUCACUCCGGCCGGCUAUUCACCGGCGAAGCUUCGUCCCAACUGAAAGCGGUUUACAACCCGAAGGCCGUCUUCCCGCACGCGGCGUUGCUGCGUCACGCUUUCGCGCAUUGCGCAAGAUUCCCCACUGCUGCCUCCCGUAGGAGUCUGGGCCGUGUCUCAGUCCCAGUGCGGCUGAUCUUCCUCUCAGAACAGCUACCCAUCGUCGCCUUGGUAGGCCUUUACCCCACCAACAAGCUAAUGGGCCGCGGGCCCAUCCAGAUGAGGAGGCCGAAGCUUCCUUUCCUCAUCUCACUGAUGUGAGGUGAACACAUCCGGUAUUAGCCCGAGUUUCCUCGGGUUGUCCCGGUCAUCUGGGCAGGUUACCCACGUGUUACUCACCCGUUCGCGGCUCUGCCCCAGGGCAAGCCCUGGUUCGUCGCUCCACUUGCAUGUGUUAAGCACGCCGCCAGCGUCGUCCUCGUGCCACGGACGUCGAACU
rnacentral:rRNA from 1 species